UACGAAGGGGGCUAGCGUUGCUCGGAAUUACUGGGCGUAAAGGGCGCGUAGGCGGACAGUUUAGUCAGAGGUGAAAGCCCAGGGCUCAACCUUGGAAUUGCCUUUGAUACUGGCUGUCUUGAGUUCGGGAGAGGUGAGUGGAAUUCCUGGUGUAGCGGUGAAAUGCGCAGAUAUCAGGAAGAACACCCGUGGCGAAAGCGGCUCUCUGGAACGGUACUGACGCUGAGACGCGAAAGCGUGGGGAGCGAACAGG
rnacentral:rRNA from 1 species